CCGGAUGUCGCCGGCCCGGAGCAUGCUGGGAGCUGUAGUUCAACCCAAUGGCGACCCGCGCUCCGGAGCAUCGCGCGGCCAAGCGUUCAGUGGCCGUGCUGGGAGUAGUCAGCCCAGCCGCGGGGAGACAAGCACUAAAGACUGAGCGUCCUGACCAUGAGUCACCCAAGCCCAGCUCGGCCACAUGCCUUCCUGGGAGAAGGAACCGGAGGCGCCCAGGAGAGUCAGAAGCCUCUUAGAGAUAAACAUUCGGCUAAGGCUUGCCCUGCCCUUCCUUUCUUGCACUAAGAAAGCCUCCUGACAUCAGGUCAGGCAAGCCAGAGUUUGGCUGUAAGACCUGGGCUUGGGGACGCUUGUGUGAAGUCCUUUUCCUCUCUGUGCCUCAGUUUCCACUCAGCCGUUUAAACAACCAGAAUUUCAGUCUUCCAGCACAGACACCUGGGGCUGCAAUAAGGUGAAUGCAGACACCAUGACGCAGGCUAAAACUGGGAGUGCAGGCAGGAAGGCCUGGGGCUGCCCCACACCCACUCCUGGAAGUUUUGGGGACUUUGCUGCUGCUCAUGCAAAGGUCUAAAUGCCCAGCUCUGUGCCAGGGCCCUGAGACACCGUCAGGCAUUUCCAGGAGGAUGUGCCCAAACGCCAGCAUGGUCCUGACAGGGCUGCCAGGCUCAUUUGCCUCUUCUGAAAGCAAAAAGAAGAGACAUGAAAUGAAUUUCUAUUAACUGGGACCAUGACUUCUGCGAAGGAAUGAAAAUGCUUUUAAUUCAUAACCAAGAAAUCCUACUUACAUUUGAAAAACUUGUCAACCCAUUGCUGAACAUCUGGGAGAACACGGGGCGGGGGUGGGCUUCGUUAGUGCCCAGCCUGGAACCCCCCAAUUGCCCCGAGGACCUCCCUGGCUCAAGUAGCUCCAGUCUCUCCCGGCUUGAUACCAGGAACAUCAUGGCGCACAGCUCGCGUCCCAGGUCAGCCUUCGUCUUCUGUCUAUAAUUACACCACCCUCUUGAACGUCCCUGGACCAGACGUGUAUAACAGCACAUGUCCAUGAGCCGACAUCAAGAGGACCAUGCUCUGCAUACCAUCCUGUGGCAUGCCCUCCCCUCUGUGGGACCCCUCAUGUUGUGCAGGGACCCCCAGUCCUCUCUCACAGCUGUGCAGUGUGCCGCUGUGGGAACUCACAGCUGUUUACAGCCCUUUCUCUGUCGUGGACAUCUGCUUGGGAGGCUGAGGCAGGAGGAUCGCUUAAGCCCAGCGGUCAAGGCUGCA
rnacentral:lncRNA from 1 species